GACGUAGGGCGCGAGCGUUGUCCGGAUUUAUUGGGCGUAAAGAGCUCGUAGGCGGAUUGUUAAGUCAGGGGUGAAAUCCUGGAGCUCAACUCCAGAACUGCCUUUGAUACUGGCGAUCUCGAGUCCGGGAGAGGUGAGUGGAACUGCGAGUGUAGAGGUGAAAUUCGUAGAAAUUCGCAAGAACACCUAUGGCGAAGGCAGCUCUCUGGGACGGUACUGACGCUGAGACGCGAAAGCGUGGGGAGCGAACAGG
rnacentral:rRNA from 1 species